AAAGAAUGAGGUAGGAAAUUGAUUACUUUGUUAUUUGUAAGGAUAAAUGCAUACUGUGCAUUCUUGUAAAAAAAAAAAGUAAUCAAUUUCCUACCUCAUUCUUUAAUAUCAGAAUGCUAUAGUUGUUUCCAUCAAACAAUACCUAUAUCUAUGUGCUGUGUCCUGUCUGAAAUUCACUAGUCAGCUGAACAGAAAGUAAACUAUGAUAAUUUCCCCAUAUAAAGUCUUCUGUCCC
rnacentral:misc_RNA from 1 species